GCGACACGAGCACCGGUUCCCUCGUUCAU
rnacentral:sRNA from 1 species